rnacentral:rRNA from 1 species
CCUACGUGUGGCAGCAGUGAGGAAUAUUGGUCAAUGGACGAGAGUCUGAACCAGCCAAGUAGCGUGAAGGCUGACUGCCCUAUGGGUUGUACACUUCUUUUAUAUGGGAAUAAAAUGUUCCACGUGUGGGAUUUUGUAUGUCCCAUAUGAAUAAGGAUCUGCUAACUCCGUGCCAGCAGCAGCGGUAAUACUGAUGAUCCGAGCGUUAUCCGGAUUUAUUGGGUUUAAAGGGAGCGUAGGUGGAUUGUUAAGUCAGUUGUGAAAGUUUGCGGCUCAACCGUAAAAUUGCAGUUGAAACUUGCAGUCUUGAGUACAGUAGAGGUGGGCGGAAUUCGUGGUGUAGCGGUGAAAUGCUUAGAUAUCACGAAGAACUCCGAUUGCGAAGGCAGUUCACUGGACUGCAACUGACACUGAGGCUCGAAAGUGGGGGUAUCAAACAGGAUUAGAUACCCCUGUAGUC